GCUAAAAAACAAAACACGCGCACGCAUUCAGUUGGCAGCCUGAUGUUCUUCAUCGGCCACAGGCUGCUCCAACAUUGGCUUGACCACAGCCACUGCAGACCCACCUACGGCAGCCACCUCCUGCUCCACGGCAACAGGCCAAUCCUCCUCCAGCGUCUCCGGCACCACCAAUACGGCAUCCUGCGAGAUGGGGACAUCACCUUC
rnacentral:lncRNA from 1 species